rnacentral:rRNA from 1 species
UACGUAGGGUGCAAGCGUUAAUCGGAAUUACUGGGCGUAAAGCGUGCGCAGGCGGUUAUGUAAGACAGAUGUGAAAUGCCCGGGCUUAACCUGGGAACUGCAUUUGUGACUGCAUGGCUAGAGUUUGGCAGAGGGGGUAGAAUUCCACGUGUAGCAGUGAAAUGCGUAGAUAUGUGGAGGAACACCGAUGGCGAAGGCAGCCCCCUGGGUCAAGAUUGACGCUCAUGCACGAAGCGUGGGGAG